rnacentral:rRNA from 1 species
UACGUAGGGUGCGAGCGUUGUCCGGAAUUAUUGGGCGUAAAGGGCUCGUAGGCGGUUUGUCGCGUCGGGAGUGAAAACCCAGGGCUUAACCGGGGAACUGCAUCUGAUACUGGAUGGCUUGAGUUCGGGAGAGGGAUGCGGAAUUCCAGGUGUAGCGGUGAAAUGCGUAGAUAUCUGGAGGAAUACCGGUGGCGAAGGCGGCGAUCCUGGACCGGCAUUGACGCUGAGGAGCGAAAGCCAGGGGAGCAAACGGG